UACGGGGGGGGCAAGCGUUGUUCGGAAUUACUGGGCGUAAAGCGCACGUAGGCGGCGAUUUAAGUCAGAGGUGAAAGCCCGGGGCUCAACCCCGGAAUAGCCUUUGAGACUGGAUUGCUAGAAUCUUGGAGAGGCGAGUGGAAUUCCGAGUGUAGAGGUGAAAUUCGUAGAUAUUCGGAAGAACACCAGUGGCGAAGGCGGCUCGCUGGACAAGUAUUGACGCUGAGGUGCGAAAGCGUGGGGAGCAAACAGG
rnacentral:rRNA from 1 species